CGCUUAGCUCAGUUGGGAGAGCAUCGCCCUUACAAGGCGAGGGUCACUGGUUC
rnacentral:tRNA from 1 species